rnacentral:tRNA from 1 species
GGAGGGAUGGCAGAGCGGACGAUUGCGACGGUCUUGAAAACCGUUGUGGGGGCAACCCCACCGGGGGUUCGAAUCCCUCUCCCUCCGCCA